AAAGCUCUAAACUUGACUGCACCCAGACCUUCUACUGUAAAGCACCAGAGCAAUGUUAUCCUCUUCUUCUCCUCCAAGCUCUCAUCUUUUGUUGACUCACUCUUCUCACUGUUUUAAGACUCCCAACCUUUCUCAUCAUCAGUGUAAGCAGCAGAAAAGAUGGACCCAUGGGUCACAGAGAGCUUCUAGAGUUGUUGCUUACUAUGGCUUGAAGGAACCACCUUAUAAACUUGAUGCUUUGGAACCCUAUAUGAGUCAGAGGACAUUGGAGGUUCACUGGGGAGGCCG